rnacentral:tRNA from 1 species
GCCCGAGUGGUGAAAUCGGUAGACGCGGUGGAUUCAAAAUCCUCUUCCGAAAGGAGUGGCGGUUCAAGUCCGCCCUCGGGCA